GGCGGCGCGCAGCUCCUCGCCCAGCUGGUGCACGGCGGAGCCCGGGCCGGCCAGCUGCAGCAUGAAGAGCCCCGUGUCCGGGUCGCGCACGCAGCGGCGCAGCAGCUGCAUGUAGGUGAGGUUCUCGUGCGUGUUGGGGUCGAAGAAGCCCUUGGUGUCGUCGCUGGGGUCCUCCAGCACGCGGCUCAUCUCCUCGUCGAAGUAGCCGCGCUGGUAGGCCACGUCCACGGGCACGCGGUGGCUGCGCACGGGGUCGAUGACGCCGCCCGUGGCGAUCUGGGCCUCCAGCAGGCGGAUGCCGUGCUCGCGGACGAUGAGGUCCUUCUUCAUGGCCUGGAAGAGGGAGAUCUGCUCCCCGGUGUAGGGGUCCGUGUAGCCGGUGACGGCGCGCUCGGCCGACAGCAGCUUCUCCCGCAGCUCGCCGCCCACCACGCCCGCGGCCACCGCCUCCUCCACGGACAGCUUCUGGUUGCGCACGGGGUCGAUGACGCCGCCCGUGGCGAUCUGGGCCUCCAGCAGGCGGAUGCCGUGCUCGCGGACGAUGAGGUCCUUCUUCAUGGCCUGGAAGAGGGAGAUCUGCUCCCCGGUGUAGGGGUCCGUGUAGCCGGUGACGGCGCGCUCGGCCGACAGCAGCUUCUGGUAGGUUUCUCUGCCAAACAUCCCCGCCUCAAACGCCUCCUGCACAGUCAGCUUCCGGUUCUCCACGGGGUCGAUGAGGAAGCCGGUGGCCGCCUGCGCCUCCAGCAGCACCAGGGCCGUGCCGGGCCGCAGGAUGUGCCUCCUCAGCGCCUCUGAGAUGCUCAUCUUCUCCUUCGUGCUCUGGACAAGGACCCCGGCGAUGAAAUUGCCUCCUUCCAAGAAGCGCCUCACCCCGUCCAUGGCUGUCACCUCCCGCACCGACUUCUUCCCCUGAUUCAGCUCAUCCAGCGUCUUCUUGUCGAUCAGCUGGGACCGGAACAGGUCGCUGGCGGACACCUGUUUCCGGAGCCCUCUGAAAGUGGCCUUCGAAGGCUGUGCCUCUGAGGCCUCAACCAGGGAGGUGACCUCACGGACCACCUGCCGCAGGGCUGUGGCCCUUCCAGACUGGCAGAGCACCGCCAGCUCCUGUCGCCUCUGGGCCCCGACGUACUCGGAGUGCAGCAGGUCCCACAGCGACACGCUGAGCCCUCUGAACCUCCCCGCGCCUACGGGCACCUUCAUGGCCCUCAGGGCCACCGCCGUGUGCUCGUCCACCGCUAGGGCCACGUCCUGAGGGACUGGCAGCAGCCACAGGCCAGUGUCGGCGUCCAGGACACAGCGCUCCUUGAGCUGCUCGUAUGUCAC
rnacentral:lncRNA from 1 species